rnacentral:rRNA from 1 species
GCAAGACCGUGAGGUGGAGCAAAACUCAAAAACUUGUCUCAGUUCGGAUUGUAGGCUGAAACUCGCCUACAUGAAGCUGGAGUUGCUAGUAAUCGCGAAUCAGCAUGUCGCGGUGAAUACGUUCCCGGGCCUUGUACACACCGCCCGUCACACCAUGAGAGUUGGCAAUACCCAACGUACGUGAUCUAACCCGCAAGGGAGGAAGCGUCCUAAGGUAGAGUCAGCGAUUGGGGUGAAGUCGUAACAAGGUACC